rnacentral:rRNA from 1 species
CCUUAGGCCGAAGUACAUGAUUCCAUGCUUCCAAGAAAAGCAUCUAGAGAGAGAAGUAGUGCCCGUACCGCAAACCGACACAGGUAGAUGAGGAGAGAAUCCUAAGGCCGGCGGAAGAAUUGCAGUUAAGGAACUAGGCAAAUUGACCCCGUAAGUUCGCGAGAAGGGGUGCCUGCGAGAGCAGGCCGCAGAGAAUAGGCCCAAGCAACUGUUUAGCAAAAACACAGGUCUCUGCUAAAGCGUAAGCUGAUGUAUAGGGGCUGACGCCUGCCCGGUGCUGGAAGGUUAAGGGGAACACUUAGCGCAAGCGAAGGUGUGAACUUAAGCCCCAGUAAACGGCGGCCGUAACAAUAACGGUCCUAAGGUAGCGAAAUUCCUUGUCAGGUAAGUUCUGACCCGCACGAAUGGCGUAAUGACUUGGGCACUGUCUCAACUGCAAAUCCGGCGAAGUUGUAGUGCGAGUGAAGAUGCUCGCUACCCGCGAUUGGACGGAAAGACCCCGUAGAGCUUUACUGUAGCUUAGCAUUGAAUUCCGGUAUUGUCUGUACAGGAUAGGUGGGAGACUAGGAAACUAGGGCGUCAGCCUUAGUGGAGUCAACCUUGGGAUACCACCCUGACAGUACUGGGGUUCUAACAGGACGCCAUGAAUCUGGUGACUAGACAUUGUUAGGUGGGCAGUUUGACUGGGGCGGUCGCCUCCUAAAAAGUAACGGAGGCGCCCAAAGGUUCCCUCAGAACGGUCGGAAAUCGUUCGUAGAGUGCAAAGGCAGAAGGGAGCCUGACUGCGAGACAUACAAGUCGAGCAGGGACGAAAGUCGGGCUUAGUGAUCCGGUGGUACCUCGUGGGAGGGCCAUCGCUCAACGGAUAAAAGCUACCUCGGGGAUAACAGGCUGAUCUCCCCCAAGAGUCCACAUCGACGGGGAGGUUUGGCACCUCGAUGUCGGCUCGUCGCAUCCUGGGGCUGUAGUAGGUCCCAAGGGUUGGGCUGUUCGCCCAUUAAAGCGGCACGCGAGCUGGGUUCAGAACGUCGUGAGACAGUUCGGUCCCUAUCCGUCGCGGGCGUAGGAAAUUUGAGAGGAGCUGUCCUUAGUACGAGAGGACCGGGAUGGACUGACCUCUGGUGCACCAGUUGUUCCGCCAGGAGCAUGGCUGGGUAGCUAAGUCGGGAAGGGAUAAACGCUGAAAGCAUCUAAGCGUGAAGCCUCCCUCAAGAUGAGAUUUCCCAUAGCAUAAGCUAGUAAGACCCCUUGAAGAACACAAGGUUGAUAGGUCAGAGGUGUAAGUGCGGUAACGUAUUUAGCUGACUGAUACUAAUAGGUCGAGGGCUUGAUC